ensembl:lncRNA
GGUAACUAUGUCUGAGUCCAGCCUUUCAACACUGGCUUUCUCAGACCUUGAGGGGUGCUUAUGUGGGGAAACUCGCUGUUCCCAGUGGCCAGAGUCUAUGGAUCACGUCUCCAUCUCACUUUGGACUUAAUUUUAGAAACUUCAAGAAAAUAUUAAUACGAUAUUUUUUAAACUAGACACAUUUUCAUAGGCUGAAUGUACUUGUUUACCCAGCACACAGAUAAAGACGGUCAAAGCCAUCUCCAUGCUUCCAAACCCACCUUGUGCUUCUGCCGAAUCUCUCCCCUGCCAGGGAAAAUAGGACCCUGAUUUCUCAACACCAUGGAUGAGUUCAUGACCUUCAUCCAAGUGGAAUUAUGUGGAAAAUGGUCUUUCGUGUUUGCAUCUGUUGCUCAACUUCAGAUCAUUACAGAUCCUGUGUUCUCGAGGCUCUGUGUGUGUGCAUGCCAAGUCCCUUCAGUCAUGUUCAUCUCUGCGACCCUGUGGACUUUAGCCCGCCAUGCCUCUUUCCAUCGGAUUCUCCAGGCAAGCAUACUGGAGUGGGUUGCCAUGCCCUCCUCCAGGGGAUCUUUCCAACCGAGGCAUUGAAUCUGUGUCUCUAUGUCUCUUGCAAUGGCAGGUGUUUCAACACGAGUUCCCUGAAGGAAGAGAUCUGUCUCCCAGCCUCUAUUCAAUCAACGAACAUUGAUGAGCGCUUCACCGGUGUGGAAUGAGAUGAACGACCAGGUCCCUGCACUUCGAGAAAUAGUCUAGACCUGGCACCAUCCAAUUGAAACUGAGUCCCCUGAAACUGAGUUCCCCAGGUGGAUUCUUUACCGUCUGAGCCACCAGAGAAGCCCAAGAAUACUGGAGUGGGUAGCCUAUCCCUUCUGCAGGGGAUCUUCUCAACCCAGAGAUUGAACCCAGGUCUCCUGCAUGGCAGGCAGAUUCUUCACCAAUGGAGCCAUCAGCGAAGCUCAAAACACACUGCUGGCAGUUGGAGCUUUGCAAAUAAAAGCUUACUUUGCUG